GGAUGGCCGAGCCCCCUCCAUGUCAGGUUGGGAUGUAUGAGGAGUCCCUCAGGGCUGGCCUAAGGCUCCCCUUCUAUCAUUUCAUCAUAGAAACUUUUAGGUCUUUCUAAAUCAUUCUGUGUUCGGUAGCACCAAACUCAUGAUAGCUACUCGUCACCUUCCUUUCCCACUAUUUUAUAUUUGAAGUCAAUCCGACCAUCCAUCUCUUUCAGACAUGCUUCAUCUUUAAAGAGCACCCACG
rnacentral:lncRNA from 1 species